GAUUAAGAACGCAGCGAAAUGCGAUAAGUAAUGUGAAUUGCAGAAUUCAGUGAAUCAUCGAAUCUUUGAACGCACCUUGCGCCCUUUGGCCAUUCCGAAGGGCAUGCCUGUUUGAGUAUCAUGAACACCUCAACUCUUCAUGGUUUUCCGUGAUGAGCUUGGACUUUGGGGGUCUUGCUGGCCUAUGGUCAGCUCCUCUAAAAUAAAUCAGCUUGCCAGUGUUUGGUGGGUAUCACAGGUGUGAUAACUAUCUACGCUUGUGGUUUUCCACCAGGUAACCUUCAGCAGUGGAGGUUCGCUUGAGCUCACAGAUGUGUCUCUCCUCAGUGAGGACAGCUCUUUGAAUGUUUGAUCUCAAAUCAGGUAGGACUACCCGCUGAACUUAAGCAUAUCAAUAAGCGGAGGA
rnacentral:misc_RNA from 1 species